GAGUAGAUAUCCUAAUUGGUAAGGAGCCUGGCUGUAAUCCAGUUGUCUUAGACGUUGGGGGUUCGAGUCCCUCUCUGCUCA
rnacentral:tRNA from 1 species